UGGGAUUCUGCUAAGUGAUGGAGAUGGAGCAUUUUUAGUAAAUGAUAAUUAAAUGGAGGGGUAUAAAUGUCCAUACACACUCUUUUUCAGUGUAUGAAUAAAAAAUCUCAGUGGAAAAAUCACGACCCGAAGUAAGAAGAAGCAGUCGUCGGGUCUUCGUCUCUUUAUGUUAAUGUGGUGUAUAUAUAAAAGCCGAAUAGAUGUUUGAUAAUAUUCAUUCACAAAAAUAAAAAUGGGUUUCUCUGUUAAGAAACCAAUGGCAAUGGUCCUCCUUUUGACUAUCUUUCUUCUGAUAUCUUAUGCGUAUGCCCAGGGUGGUUAUUCCAGGGGCCCCCCCGUUUAUGAGACGGCGCCUGAUUAUCCUGGAAGUGGUGGACAGUAUCCUACACCCCCGUAAUUAUAUGGAUGUGCAAUUCCCUUUGUAUUCUGCAAAUUCCAACACGUCUGCUUAUAGUCUAUAUAUAUAUAUAUAUAUAUAUAUAUAUAUAUAUAUAUAUAUAUAUAUAAAUAAAAAUAAAUUUGUGUUGUAUUUGAUCA